rnacentral:rRNA from 1 species
GAUGAACGCUGGCGGCGUGCCUAACACAUGCAAGUCGAACGGAAAGACCAGGCUCUUGCUCGGUGCUCGUGUGGCGAAGGGGGGAGAAACACGUGAGGAACCUGCCCUUGACAUUGGGGUAACUUCUGGAAACUGCGGAUAAUACCGGGUAGAAGAUCCUGCUGCACGGUGGGGAUUGGAAAGUUUCGGCGGUUGUGGCAGGACUCGCGGGUUACCCGCUAGUUGGUGAGGUAGUGGCUUACCAAGGUUUUGACGGGUAGCCGGCCUGAGAGGUUGACCGGCGUCAUUGGGACUGAGAUACGGCCCAGACGCCAACGGGAGGCAGCAGGGGGAAAUAUUGCACAGUGGGCGGGAGCGUGAUACAGCAACCCCGAGUGCGGAAUAACGGGCUUCGGGUUAUAAACCGCUGUCGCCGGAGACGAAGCCUGAGUGACGGUAAUGGAUAAAGAAGCACCGGCUAACUACGUG